rnacentral:rRNA from 1 species
CACGUAGGGGGCAAGCGUUGUCCGGAAUCAUUGGGCGUAAAGAGCUCGUAGGCGGCUCAAUAAGUCGGGUGUGAAACCCUCAGGCUCAACCUGGGGACGCCACCCGAUACUGUUGUGGCUAGAGUCCAGUAGGGGAGUGUGGAAUUUCCGGUGUAGCGGUGAAAUGCGCAGAUAUCGGAAGGAACACCAGCGGCGAAGGCGGCACUCUGGGCUGGUACUGACGCUGAGGAGCGAAAGCGUGGGGAGCGAACAGG